GGACUACUAGGGUUUCUAAUCCUGUUUGCUCCCCAUGCUUUCGUACCUCAGCGUCAGUAUUAGGCCAGAUGGCUGCCUUCGCCAUCGGUAUUCCUCCAGAUCUCUACGCAUUUCACCGCUACACCUGGAAUUCUACCAUCCUCUCCCAUACUCUAGCUCACCAGUAUCGAAUGCAAUUCCCAAGUUAAGCUCGGGGAUUUCACAUCCGACUUAAUAAGCCGCCUACGCACGCUUUACGCCCAGUAAAUCCGAUUAACGCUCGCACCCUCUGUAUUACCGCGGCUGCUGGCACAGAGUUAGCCGGUGCUUAUUCUGCGAGUAACGUCCACUAUCUCUAGGUAUUAACUAAAGUAGCCUCCUCCUCGCUUAAAGUGCUUUACAACCAUAAGGCCUUCUUCAC
rnacentral:misc_RNA from 1 species